rnacentral:lncRNA from 1 species
GUAAGGUUAGCCAUUUAGGAUUGUAACUCAGAAAUAGAACUUACCUCAUUUACAUGAUGUGGCCGUGGGGUGUCUCGUUGCCCAACGCCUUCAUAUUGCUGUGCAUUGAGUGCUCGAUUCGCAAUGAGAGUUUUGGCAUCCCUGGGUGUCUUGUCCACUAGAGCUCCUCCCGGGGACGCAUCCAACAUUUGUCGUUCAUGUGGUAAAAGACCUUCGUAAAAAUAUUGAAGAAGUAGCUCCUCCUUCAUCUGAUGUUGUGGACAAGAAGCAACAAGUGAUUUAAAUCGUUCAUAAUAAGAUGGAAAAGAUUCACCUGGGCUUUGCUGAAUUCCACUAAUCUUCUUUCGAAGAAGAAUGACUCGUGAUGUCGGGAAGAACUUCUCUAAGAAAGCUCGCUGCAUGCUCUCCCAUGAUGUGACAGUGCCGGGAGCCAACUCAUACAACCAAUCCUUGGCCUUCUCCAACAAAGAAAAGGGGAAAGCCUUCAUCUUCAAUAUGUUGCCGUCCACGUUCACCGGUGUCAUACUCGAGCAUACUACUUCGAACUCCUUUAAAUGCUUAUUGGGGUCCUCCAUUGAUAACCCAUGGAACUUGGGUAUAUGAUGUAACAAACUUGACUUCAACUCCAAUUCAUCGGUUUUCUCAGGGGCUGCCCUAGGGUAUUGGAUGCAAAGAGGGGCUGCAUUGGCCAAACCCGAGGCAGAAAGCUCCUUAAUGGUUCGAUUGUCGACUGCCAUGGUUGGUACUUCUUCUUCAACUCUUGCUGUGGCCUCCUCUUCAACCUCAACUUCUUGCUCUUCUAAUUCGGGUUCGGGACUAGGAGGAUUAGACUUGUGUAAUUUCUUUUUCCUUCUCAACGUCCUCUUGAUAGGAGCAUAUUUAUGCGCCUUAGUUAGCUUGUUCUUGUGCAUUUACGUUGUUUUUCCUUAGUUAAAGUAGUCUUUUAAGCUAGUUUUAUGUGUUUUUGAUAGGAGCAUAUUUAUGCGCCUUAGUUUAGCUUGUUCUUGUGCAUUUAUAGUGUUUUUACUUAGUAAAGUAGUCUUUUAAGCUAGUUUUAUGUGUUUUCAGGUUCUAAGGGCAAAGUAUGCAAAGAGGUGCGAAAUGGAGCAUUUUAGAGCAAAAUUGAGCUAGAAUGGAGUGUAUGCUAAUGGAGCACAAGGAAUGGACGAGUUUGAAGGUCAAAGGAGCUUAAGAAAUGAAGAAAUGGAAGUGAAGAACAAAGAAGUCGGAAUUGGCAACCAAAGUUUCUAAAGUUGGAAGUUUCUAUUCUUGGAGGUUUCCAUUUUCGUGAGUUUCUAUUCUUGGCUUUGGGCUUUUAGAUGACAUAAACCCUAAACUCCUUGUGGACCCUAAGCCUAUGCCGCACCUAAACCCUAAUCCUAGCCCACUUAAUCAGCCACACCCUAGGGCCUAAUCAUUUAAUUUCUGCCAAGUUGAACCCUAAUCUAUCUACCCUAAGCCCAUGCCGCACCUAAUGUUCUAGAAACCCUAUUUUCUGGUGGAUUUCCAACCCUUGCCGCACCCAAACCCUAGCCUAUUUGCCUAACCUGAUUUCUUUAGGGUUUGGCUGCCUAUAUAUAUGUGUUUUACCACCAUGCCGCAGGGAUCCUCCCUCUCCACAAAUCAGAAAAUCAUCCAACCCUUUUCCCCACCUUGCCGCAGCCACCAUCACCUUAAUCCCUCCUUGCCGCAACCAUCCUUUACUCCAGCCACCAUUAUACACCUCCAUACACCAUCCAUACCCCUUGCCGCACCACCAUAUCAUCCUAACUCCAUUCCUAAACCAAAACCACAUCCAAAAAUCCCUUUAACCAUCUCUGCCGCAGCAAGGAGAAGAAGAAGAGGAGCUUGACGUGCAGAAAUUCAAAGUGGAAUUCUUAGGCGUUUUAGGUGUAAUCUUUCUUAUGUCUUCGAUGUUUCAAUUCAAUAAACUUUGUGUUGUGAGUAUGAGGAACUAAACCCCCUUAGUUGGGGGGUAAUUCGAAACCAUGUACAUGCUUGCAAUAUGAUUUGAUUACAUUCAGUUGUUGUUUUAUAAGUUGUGGAUUCAAUUCGUUCAUCUAUUUGAUUGAUAACUUAUUUGUGUAUGUUGAUUGAGAGUGCACGCUUAGUUUUCAUGCAUGAAUAUGAUGCUAGAUUAUGAGGGAGUUUCACCUAAUAGUUACAAUCUUAUAAUCACAAGUAGUGAAGGUCGCUUGAAAACGAUCGCGUUGAAUGAAUUCUUAGCAUAAGUUUCAUGCAAUUCAUAGUAACGAAUGCUUCGUCAAUGCUUAUGUUUUUCAUAGAAACUUAAUGAUUCUUGCUUGUAUCUCUAUUAUGCAAUUCAUGUAGGGAACUUGUAGGGAAUGUUUUGGGUUGUCGUAUGCAAUCAUCCAAUUUAAUAACUUGUGGAAAAACUGAGGGUUAAUUAGUGCAAUUCACGGUUAAUUUGGGGCGUUGAGUAUUUAUAAUUUAUUGGAAGAAACAACUGAAAAUCGUUUUGUUUGCAAGUGUGACAUGUGUGGAGAAGAACCUCCUAACUAGCCUUUUAUCCAUCCUUUUCAUCCAAAAACGUUCUUACAAUCUGUUUAGUUUAAAGUUUCUGUUUUGUUUUCAAUUUUCGUCCAAAACAAAUCCCCCUUUAUUUUGAAGUCUUAGAUUAGUUAGAAAGUGUUUUGAUUUGUGUUUUCUAAGUGUUUUGAUUCAAGUUUUUCACUCAAAUUUCGUCCAAGUUCUUGUUAGGUUCUCAAAACUGCCCAGAAAGUGGUUUUUAGGCAGUUUUGAGUUUUAGGUUUGUUUAAGUGUUUUAAAGUUUAGUUUUGCAUUCUUUGAGUCUAGUUUAGUGUUUUAAACCUUGUUUUAGAGUUUUUAAGUCAGUUUCCAAGUGUUUAGCAAUCCCUCCUAAUCCCCGGUCUAGAACGAUCCCUACUUACAUCUUUACUAGAAUUUGACAAAAAGAGGGUUUAAUUUGUGUGCUUAUCUAUUUCGCAUCAGUUUUCAGGUUUUAAGGGCAAAGUAUGCAAAAGGGUGCAUUUUGGAGCCUGUUGGAGCAAAUUAGAGCUUGGAAUGGAAGUCACAUACUUGGAGCAAAGGGAAUGGACGAGAAUGAAGAUUUGAAGAUUUGAGGAGUCCUAGUUGAAGAAGGAUUCCUAAUCAACGAAGGAUUCCUAAUUGAAGAAGGAUUCCUAAUCAACGGAGGAGUCCUAGCUAAGGAUGGAUUCGUAGUCAAAGAUGGAUUCCUAGAAGGAUGAGGAUUCCUACUCAAGCAAGGUUUCCUACUUGACGAAGGAGAAUUAAAGUCAAAAAAUCAGCUCAAGUGAAGAAAUCUUAUCCAAAACAUCAUCCAUAACUUUAUCUUAGCUUAUCUUAUCCAAACAAACCUUAUCCUAUCCUAUCUUAUCCAAAUCUGAAUUCAUUGAUAUUUUAGCUGCAAAGUGGGGUUCCUAACUAGAUUAGAAUGCUUAAAAUUAGAUUUCUAGAAGCCCUAUCCCUGCACACAUAAGGUGCCGCACCUAUCCCUUUCUAGAACUUGUUUUCCUUGCCUUGCAAGGCUUUCUAGAAGCCUUAUCCACCCUAUCCCUUACCUGCCGCACCUAGGAGGCCUUUUCCUUUGCAAAAUCUGAUUGUUUAAACCUAUUUCCUUGUGGAUUUGGGUUAUCCAAGUCCAUAUCUGAUUACCCUAGGGUUUUAAGUGCCUAUAUAUACUCAUAUAAACCCCUAGAUCAGAUCACCACUCACCACAAUUCACAAUUCACUCCAGAAAUUCACAAGAACCCUUUGCCGCACCAAUUCACUCCCAUUCACCAUACAAUCUGACCUUGCCGCACCCCCCACCCUUCCUAAACACUUCUACCUUAGUCCAUACUCAUCCACCCAUACAUAUAAGUCCCAACCUGUCCCUAAAGUCCUUUGCCGCACCAAGGAGGAGGAGAAGGAAGCUUGGAAGUUCAUGCAAUUCAAGUUCGCGUCGCUGGAAUUUCUAGGUGUUUCUUUUCCUUUGAUUUCAAUGUUUAAAUUCAAUUCUCUUUGUUUUGUGUGUAUGAGGAACUAAACCCCCCCUUGGCUAGGGGGGGAUUCGAAAUACAUGUUUAUGCUUGCGAUAUGAUUUGAUUACUUCUAAUUGCGUUUCAUAAGUUGUGAAUUCAAUUUACUUAUCUAUGUGAAUUACAUUGAUUUAUGUGUGUUGGUUGGGAGUGCACGCUUAAUUAUCAUGCAUAAGUUGAAUGCUAGGAUAUAAGGAUAUUUCACCUAAUCGUUAUGGACUUAUAUUCACAAGUAGUAAAGGUUGAUGAUCUCAAUCG